rnacentral:lncRNA from 13 species
CGGUAAAUUCAACUACAUCAUCCCACAACAGACAAGUCUUCUUUUUUAACAUAGCGGUAAAUUCAACUACAUCAUCCCACAACAGACAAGUCUUCUUUUUAACAUAGCGGUAAAUUCAACUACAUCAUCCCACAACAGACACGUCUUCUUUGUUAAAGCAGUGGUACAAUCUAUUCAACAACUUGAAUUGCGCUUUUUUUGUUGUUGUUGUUUUUUUUAGCCGUAAGACCGCAUGGUCAUUAUUGUACAGGCAUGUCUCAAUGCUACAUAAAGACAACUGUCCACCUGUAGCAACACAGCUUGGAGCAUAGAAUAACAGAACACUGUAAUCGUGAAUUCCACACUAAGUUUAGUUGAUAUAAGGAUUGCAGAAGUGCGUUAUGGUGUGUUCAUACUAGUUGACGUAAAGUAGCAGAAAGCCAGCGGCCAUUAGGAAGCAUACCGCACUUCCCUGCUGCUACUGACCCCCCCCCCGUGUAGUUCUACAUGAAUGUGCGUCCAUGUACAGGCAUUUCACUACACCCACUAAACACGUGUUUCCAUAAAGUUUAAGUUGAUGAAAAAUAACUCCUGUGACUUGGCCUGCACGGUAUUAAUUUAACUAGGCAAGUCAGUUAAAAACACAUUUUUAUUUACAAUGAUGGCCAUAGGAACAGUGGGUUAACUGCCUUGUUCAGGGGCAGAACGACAGAUGUCUUUUACCUCUUGUCAGCUCAGGGAUUUGACCUAGCAACCUUUCAGUUACUGGCCCAACGCUCUAAACACUAGGCUACUUGCCGCACCUAAUAUGCAUUGUAGCAAGCAUGCUACUGGACUCUGAACCUGAUGUGCUGGACCUUGAGUGUUCAAAUCAGCCGUAGCAACUUUGUUGAGAGUGGGGUGCAGUCACAUUAAAAACACAAGUGUUACAUGGCAGCAUGGACACAUUUAACAAUUGAUUUACAUCAGCUAUUCUUUUAUAUAUAUAUUUUUUAAGUUAAUGUUUUUUGCUCUUUACAUGGGGUUAGAUACUAUAGCUUCAUAAAGCACACAGAAGUAUGAACACUGGGUCUCCUAUGGGAUUACAACAGCUACUGGAAACCUUAUUUGUAUUAGCUGUGUUCAGACCAAUGUGAGAUGUCCAGUGUUGAACUGUUUUUCUUCUGAGUUUUGGGCAUUCGGGGGUUGUAAACAGAAGUACCCCCUUGUUUGAUCCCACUUCUGUUGACCAGUUUUCCAACAUUUGAGUGGACCCCCUUUUUUUUUUUUUAAUCUAUUUCCAUUAUUCCCCUUAUGUCACACAUGAAAGUGCCAUGUAUGUACGCCCGUCUGUUUUUUUAGAUUUGUAAUUUGCACCUUGUGGAGACAACUGUCCCGUUUUAUUCUUUCAGUGUUGCACUUUUUGUAAGCGUUUUCU